rnacentral:sRNA from 1 species
UUGACAGACAUGAAGAAUGAAUUCUGAUCAUCCUUAGAAGAGGUACAGCACAAUCAGAAACACCACAUUUUUUUCCACAUUGCUGUAGCAAUAAAUUUCAUCUGCUGCUCAAACAGAGUACUUAUAGGAGCAAAAGGACAGUUUAAUCUCCACGUUCAUUCAGUUUUUGUCCUCU